rnacentral:rRNA from 1 species
UACAGGGGGUGCAAACGUUGCUCGGAAUCAUUGGGCGUAAAGCGCACGUAGGCGGUCUGUUAUGUCGGAUGUGAAAGCCCUUGGCUCAACUGAGGAAGUGCAUCCGAAACUGGCAGGCUAGAGUACUAAAGAGGGUCGCGGAAUUCCAGGUGUAGCGGUGAAAUGCGUAGAUAUCUGGAGGAACACCGGUGGCGAAGGCGGCAUCCUGGACCGAUAUUGACGCUGAGGCGCGAAAGCCAGGGGAGCAAACGGG